GGGGCUGUAGCUCGGUUGGUAGAGCAACCUGUUUUGCACGCAGAAGGUCUCCGGUUCAGUCCCUGGCAUCUCCA